GACGAACCGUGCGAACGUUGUUCGGAAUCACUGGGCUUAAAGGGCGCGUAGGCGGGCGGCCGCGUCCGGGGUGAAAUCCCACGGCUCAACCGUGGAACGGCCUCGGAUACGGGCGGCCUCGAGGGGGGUAGGGGCAUCUGGAACUGUGAGUGGAGCGGUGAAAUGCGUUGAUAUUCACAGGAACUCCGGUGGCGAAGGCGGCUCACUGGACUGGUACUGACGCUGAUGCGCGAAAGCGUGGGGAGCAAACAGGGAU
rnacentral:rRNA from 1 species